rnacentral:pre_miRNA from 17 species
CAGCUGUGUUUAAUUCUGUGGCCUGUGACCUUCCCUUUGUCAUCCUAUGCCUGGUGUUUGAUGGGGCUGGGACGAUAAGGGGGUGUUCAUCUGUCAUUGCUCCAUCAUGUCCAUUC